UACGGGGGGGGCAAGCGUUGUUCGGAAUUACUGGGCGUAAAGGGCUCGUAGGUGGCCAACUAAGUCAGACGUGAAAUCCCUCGGCUUAACCGGGGAACUGCGUCUGAUACUGGAUGGCUUGAGUUUGGGAGAGGGAUGCGGAAUUCCAGGUGUAGCGGUGAAAUGCGUAGAUAUCUGGAGGAACACCGGUGGCGAAGGCGGCAUCCUGGACCAAUACUGACACUGAGGAGCGAAAGCCAGGGGAGCAAACAGG
rnacentral:rRNA from 1 species